rnacentral:rRNA from 1 species
ACGCUCGACACCUACGGGAGGCAGCAGUGGGGAAGUAAUUGUCGACAAAUGGGGGGAAACCCGUGAAUCGCGAACGCGGACCGACCGCGUGAGACGGAAGAAGUAAUUUCGGUAUGUAAAGGCUACUAUUCAGACAAGGGAAAGAAACUGACGGUACCUGACUAAGAAGUCACCGGCUAAAUACGUNCCACAGGCCGCGGUAAUCUGGAGCCGGCGUGGACGAACGGC